AAUAAGUGCAGUUUUGCACUAUUCACAUUCAACGUUUGACCGUCCGUCUUAUUUGAAAAAUUUAUGAAAAAAUUAAAAACAUUUAGUCACACAUAAAGUACUAUUCAUGUUUUAUCAUCUAAUAGCAAUAAAAAUACUAAUUAUAAAAAAAUUUCAAAUAAGACGGACGGUCAAACGUUAAACGUGAAUAGUGCAAAACUGUACUUAUU
rfam:Oryza glaberrima chromosome 11 Oglab11_0264_6, whole genome shotgun sequence.